rnacentral:rRNA from 1 species
GACGAACGCUGGCGGCGUGCUUAACACAUGCAAGUCGAACGAAGUGGCGAACGUGUGAGUAACACGUGAGUCACCUGCCCUCUUCUUUGGGAUAACGGUCGGAAACGGCUGCUCAUACUGGAUAGUGGGGGAUGGGCUCGCGACCUAUCAGCUUGUUGGUGGGGUGAUGGCCUACCAAGGCUUUGACGGGUAACCGGCCUGAGAGGAUGACCGGGGAAAAUGGGACUGGAGUACGGGCCAGACGCCUGCGAGAGGCAGAAUUGGGGCAGUUUGCACAAUGGGCGUAAGCGUGAUGCAGCGAAGACGCGUGAGGGAUGCAGGCCUUCGGGUUGUAAACCUUUUUCGAUCAAGGUCGGGUAGUGAGUAAAGAAGCGCCGGAUAACUACGGGCCAGCAGCCGCGGAAAUUC